AUCGCUGUUUUGGAAAAGAUGUGAGAUUGUUACAGGCAUUGCCUUGGGCAGCUAUGUAGCGGGACCUUGCAUGACCAGGAAGAGCGCGAGAGAGAAAAGACGGUAUGGAUGUUGAACUAAAAAAGCUAAUUGGAAGCAACAGGUAAUAUUUCCAUCUCUGCUGAAGCCAGGUCGCCCUUACUACGGUUCGGAGCUGAAUAACAAGAUGAUAGGGAGCCGACAUCCAUCUUAACAGCGCUUCCUGAUGAGUCUCCACUUGUUGGAAAAUUCUUGGAGGCUUUUGGCGCCGUAGCAGACAUGCCGGAGCUUGCUCUUUGAGGAAGGAGGAAGUGACGUCUUAAGCCUUUGCUCCUCUCUGUGGCAGGGAAGGAGAGUGCUCGUCCGGCUUCUAUUCUGAGGGCCUUGGCGGAGACUUUCUCUCCAUCACAGCGGGGGCGAUCAUCAUCAUGCUGAACUUGAGAGGGUAGUAGCGGCCCCUCCAGGUCUUCCAGAAGAUUCCCUGUUUUCUCUGAUGCCUCUGUUUGGGCGGUGGGCUCUGGAAGAAUUUCCCGUUAAGAUUGGACUGACCGCAGUUACUGAACCACCAGCCACCUAUGGGUGCAAAGGAGGGAAGCAGGUUAGGUGUGGAUUGAGUGGAGCUCCUCUGGAGGAAGAACCUCCACGGAAUGAGGUGCUCACCGGACAGAUGUUUGGCGCAGUUGGUGUCUUUUUUUCGGUCGUUGUCUUGGUCUUGAGUGGAGAAAGGCAGGCCAGAAGUGGCGUCGGAACCCAAGGAGCUUUCCAAAGGACUGAAGGUGUCGGUCUCCUGAAUGUGGAGGGAGUACUUGGUCUCCUCUCCGCCCAGUCGGAAGGGGAGGCGGAUGGAUGCCAAAUCAUUCCCCCAGUCGGAUAGCUUGAUUUUUAGGAUGUAGCCGCCAUCUUUGGUUAUGGAAUGGAUCUUUUCCAGUCCCAACCAGAACUCUCCUAGGCGAGACAGGGAAAGGAGAAAGAGUCGGUCAGUUUAGCUUCAAACUAUCAAGUAAUUGCCUUUUUCCAUGCAAGAUGAGUUCAGCCUAAUUUCUACGACAUGCCUUGCUGCACUGCUGUGAAUGUAUAUCCUAGCGGCCCCGCCUACCCCUAACAAUGGAGCUCUCACUCCAUUGUUCUAUGGAACACUUUUGUUCUAUAAGAAGUGUAGGUGUUGAACGCAAAGCACAGUAAACGUUCUUCCUGCUGCCUUUUUUAGAGGUGAGAGAUGCGGCAAAAUAGACAAUAUAUGGAUUCCGGCAAAAUUAGCCAGUUUAUUUUCAUUUUCUAUGUCAUUAAUUGAUUUAUUUAUGAUUUUUCGGAACAAGAAAUAUUAAUCUUGUGAAAGCCCUUGUUCAAAAAUCAAGAAAAAGGCUUGUUUGAGUUAAUAUUUACCAUUCAGAGUGCCAAAGCCUUGCUUGUAGGCGUCCCAUAGCUGGUCAAAAUCCACAGAGCCAUCCUGCCGUUUUUGGAUCACCGUCCAUCCGCCAUCUAGACAGAAAAAAAGCCGCAUAUUAAAUGAAAUGUUUUUUUUAAACUACUGCUUCUCAAUCUGCGGUACUGCUGGUGGUACAGUUACUCAUCCCAAAGGAAUCUUUCAAUAAAAAUAGCAAUGAUGUAUAUUGUAAGGUCUGGUGUGGUCCAAGCCACAGUAAGAAUAAGUGAUGAAAGUGCACUCACCAGCUGUCAUCUCACAGAAGACGUUAAAAGGCUCGCUGUUGUGUGGCUGGAUGGUGUACACCCCGCUGGUGAUGUCGCCUCGCAGGAAGAGCUCAUGGCAGUCUGAUGGCAUCUCUGUUGGAAGAAGCACGCAAAGAAAAUUGAAGACAAAACAGGCAAUUGCAGCAUUUAAUGCACUAGUCAUAUAAAGUGGGUCACUCACAAACUUUGUAAAUAGCGCUUCUUAUCGUUCCGAUGGUGAUAUCAGGACGUGUGUUGCUGGAACAUCAUGUCUGAACUCUUUGCCCCAGCAAUGGCAACCAAUGCAGAGAUUGUGUGAGAAAUUCUCCCUGCUAGAAAUAUGACCUUUCUCCCAGUUCCCAUGCAAGGCUUCCCCUAUCAAAUCACUUUACAUUGCCAACCCUCCCCCUCCUCCUCUUCCUAACUCCCCCCCCCCCCCCCCUCCAACUCCCUCAGGUUGCCAUGCCUUUCUCACGUGCACAGCAGCAUGUCGCUGACGUAGGCGUGCAUGGCUGCUGCAUGGCCAGUGCGUGCUCGCCGCAUGCAGCGUGAGUGACUGGAGGGGGGGGGGGGGGUGAAUGGGGGGAGUGUUGUUGUGGUGGUUGUGUGGGGGUGAUAUUGGUGAAGCUGGAGCCAAUUAUAGCUGUAAUGUGCCUAAAAAAGGAAGGCUAAGACUCACUUAGAAACCAUUUAGCCAAUGAUGAUGUCAUCAAAUGUUUUUUUUGUUAUUAGAAAUUUAAACAAAAAAAAGGAAAAUACAAAACUAUAAAAAAGCUAUUUCCUGAUUUUUUUUUUAAAUUUACAAAACAUUUGUAAAAAUUAAUAAAUAUUUGUGGAAAAAUGCAUUUACAAUUACAUUUUUAAUUGGUAAUUUAACAAUUUUUAUUCAAUGUUUUGUCAUUUAAAAAAAAAACAUUUUUAUUUUACGCCUCUUUAUCAGAAAAGAGGCAGACCUGCCCAUCACUGUUUUCCAAAGUCAAAGCUGAUAUGUCUGAAUAUCUUGUUUUGGCUAAAACACAAAGAUAAUACUUUCAUGUAUGAUGAAGAAAAUUAAAAAAUAUUCACAUUUGAACUAUUAUACCUAUUUGAAUUAAAAUAACAUUGUUGAUUAAUUGGGUCAUCGAUUAAUCAUCAAUUAAUCCUUAAUUAACUAUUGCCAUCCACACUAUAAAAGCAGUUAUUACACUAGUUUAUGAUAAUAAUCACUAUUAUUAUUAUUUUUAACUAUAUAUAAUAUAUGAUUUCAUAGUCUCGGCUAUUUUGGUUUGUUUUUAUUGUUCCAGUUGAAGCCCAAUGACCUUUAACCCACAAGCAUGAACCCUUGGCCAGUGGUGACCCUGUUCCGCCUCAGGUCCGGGGGUUCUCCUGAACUUUAACAUACUUCUGAGUCAUUUUAAAAAUGGGAGCACUAAGAGGAGGUGGUGUUGUUUGCAGGGAGCGGGUGUGCAGAGGAGGAGGAGGAGGAGGAGGAGGAGGAGGGAUGUCUGACUCCCUGACAGAACUGGGGCAAAGGUUACUCACUCUUGAGGGAUGUACAGAUGAAUGGGAAGUGGGAUGUUUCGCUUAAAGUGGAGAAUGUGUGUACAAAGUUCACCGUCACAUUUACAGGCGCGUGGAGAACAAAGUGUAAUCUAGGAAAACAAUAAGAAAUGGGUGGGAGUAUAAUCGGAUCUCCGGGUGUGAUCCCAACUGAACAUUGGUGAGACCAACGAACCUUUCCCUACUUGACACUUUGCCAAAUAAUCCUGUGUGCUUUUUGUCUUUGUUAGUGCUGAUGUCAUAACUCUUUGGUGAUGCCUCGGCUACCUUUCACCUACUUCGUGAGUAUAUCUUCACUUUCUUAUAUUCACACAGCUUUUUUGCUGAUGUAUGUUACCACGGAGUAUUAGGGCCACAUUGAUUUCAACAAUAAAGUCGGAAAUUUAUGAAAAAAGAAGUAAGAAUAUCACCUUUGCCCCCUUUUCAUAGCUGUCUCAGGUAAUGCCUAUUAUGACAAGUCCAUUAAAAUAUUUGGACAUUUCCAGAGUGAAGUCGUAAAUUUACGAGAAAAAUCCCGUAAUCUUGCAAGAAUAAAGUUGUAAGGCUAGACAUGCUAAUCUGUGCUCAACUGCUCUGUUUUGCUGCCACGUUAUAAUUAAAAAAAUAACUUUUUUCCCUGGAGUAUUUAUGACUUUAUUCUUGUAAAUUAGCAACGUUCUUUCUCAUAAAUUUACUAUUUCCAUCUUGAAAAUGUAUGACUUUAUUCUUGGAAAUCUGCAAACCUCUUUUUCCUGGAAUAUUCAUGACUUUUUUUCUCGUAAAUUUACAAACUUCUCUUUCCUGCAAUAUUUAGGGCUUUGUUUUCAUAAAUUUACAACUUUUUUUUCCUCACAAAUUUAGGACUUUAUUUCUCGUAAACUUACAACUUUAUUCUUUUUUUCUUGCAAAUGUAUGACUUUAUUUUUCGUAAAUUUACAAGCAUGAAGUUGUAACUUCUUUGUCUCGGAAUAUUUGUGGCUUUAUUCGUGUAAGUGUAGAACUUUUUUUUCUCACAAAUGUGUGAAUUUAAUUAAUCAUAAGUUUGUAAAUUUAUGAUUAAUUAAAUUCAUUUUUUUGUUGUAAAUUUACUACUCUUUUCUCGCAAAUUAAUGAUUUUAUUAUCGUAAAUUUACAAACUUCUCUUUCCUGGAAUAUUUAUGACUUUAUUCUUAUGAAUGUACAAAGUUUUUUCUUGCUAAUUUCUGACUUUAUUUCUCAUAAA